AGGCAGCAGUCGAGAAUUUUUCUCAAUGGGGGCAACCCUGAAGGAGCGACGCCGCGUGGAGGAUGAAGGCUUUCGGGUUGUAAACUCCUGUCAUUUGAGAACAAGUGCCAACAAGUAACUACUGUUGGCUUGAUAGUAUCAGAAGAGGAAGGGACGGCUAACUCUGUGCCAGCAGCCGCGGUAAUACAGAGGUCCCAAGCGUUGUUCGGAUUCAUUGGGCGUAAAGGGUGCGUAGGUGGCGUGGUAAGUCGGGUGUGAAAUUUCGGAGCUUAACUCCGAAACUGCAUUCGAUACUGCCGUGCUUGAGGACUGGAGAGGAGACUGGAAUUUACGGUGUAGCAGUGAAAUGCGUAGAGAUCGUAAGGAAGACCAGUGGCGAAGGCGGGUCUCUGGACAGUUCCUGACACUGAGAAGCGAAAGCAUGGGGAGCGAACAGGAUUAGAUACCCUGGUAG
rnacentral:rRNA from 1 species